UGCAUCGAGCAAGCUUUACAGUCUAAAUACCCGGAUGUUGUUCUCGCCCCGCCUCCUUUGUCGGGGAUGCGACAUGGGAUGCGAUCGAUCGCAGGUGUCUUGUGAGACAGCCAGGUAUCCCAGAAUGCAUUUCGCAGCAACCAGUGGAGGGGAAAACUAAAGUGUUCCCGCAGGUCACCCUGGAGGUGACCUUUGACUUCCUGGUCCACAACAGCGAGCAACAGGCCAGGCCCCUCAGAUCAAGUGUGAAGACAUCUGAGCAGGAUUACGCAAAAACAACUGGGACAUUUUCCAUGACAUCUUGGGGGCAUGACCCAUAGAAGAGCCCGUUACAUUUUGGAACGCAUCCAGAUAAACGGUUAGUCCCAG